CAGUGAAGCUUCUACUGUUCUUAGGGACCAUUCCCUCUGUGGCCCCAGGGGUACCCAACGGCAGUAGAGCACUGGAUUGUUUCUCAAUGA
rnacentral:miRNA from 1 species